rnacentral:rRNA from 1 species
AAUCAACGCUGGCGGCGUGCCUCAGACAUGCAAGUCGAACGAGAAAGUCCCCUUCGGGGGAUGAGUAAAGUGGCGCACGGGUGAGUAACACGUAGGUAAUCUACCUUCGGGUGGGGAAUAACCCAGGGAAACUUGGGCUAACACCGCAUAAUGCAGCGGCACCACAUGGUGACAGUUGUUAAAGCGGGGGAUUUUAGGACCUCGCGCCUGAAGAGGAGCCUGCGGCGGAUUAGCUUGGGUUAAGGUAACGGCUUACCAAGGCGACGAUCCGUAACCGGCCUGAGAGGGCGGUCGGUCACACUGACACUGACAUACGGGUCAGACUCC